ensembl:lncRNA
GAAUUGCCUACUUACUGCAUUCCUAAGUCUAUUAUUCAAAUGGAUACAUAUUGUUUUAAUCGCUGGGUCACUCAAGUUGCCUCACAUUUCUGCCUUGUUCUAGUCAUCUCCGUCUUUCAAGCAAUCAGUUCUUGACCUUCAUCUUGUUGUUACCAAUCUUGGUUACCUCAGGUGUUUCUUUGUCAAACCGUCCCCUUCUCACUGGCGGUCAUUAAAGUCUGUGACAAUACUUUUUUCCUGGAUAAAGUUCCACUGUCCCUCUAUUUAUGGCUCCCUUUUGUCUACUGAAGUGCUCUCUGGCUUCCUUGAAGUAGCAACAGCGAGAGGAGCGUGGCUGCAGACAAGGAGAAGCUGCUUGUUAGGGAGCUACACAAAGCCUCCGGGAGGCGAUUUUGUUGAGAGGCUGUUAUUUAUUGAAUCAUUAGCUGAGAAGAUAACAUUCUCUUAUAUAGUGAAUUCUCUUUUUUUUUUUUUACAUGACUUUAAUAUGGAAUUGAAGUGGUAACUGGAACUGGAGCAUAUAAAAGACAACAAUAAUAUGAUAAUAGUCCCAUAUUUUAUUUAUAUGCCCACCAACUUCCAAAAGGAUUUCAUGAAACUUAUAAUAAAAGCAGAAUGGGCACAGGCUUUUUAAAAUAAAGAUGAAAGAUAGACCAAAAACCACAUAAAUGUGGGAAUAUUUUCAUGGACAAAGUAACAAAAAUUGGAAUGCUAUAUCCUUAAUAUUCAACAUCUAGAGAAACCUGAAAACUCCAACUAAAUAGAUUCUGAAAGCACAUCUAAAGUCAGGUCAGCACACAGAGCUGGCACAGCUGACUGCCUAGCGAGGGAGCGGAAUACAGCUGCAGUCAGAGACCAAUCCUCCACACCGAGACUUGGCACUACUGGAGAUCUGUGGGCUGGGGAACGGAAGCAGGGGAUAUUGCAAAAGCAGAGACAGCUGGGGAGAUCCAGCCUUUGAAGGAACCUACGAGGAAGCCCUCCCACUGCUAGAUAUUUUCUCUUGAUGCCGUAAUAGUAGCUGGAGUUCCAGAAUACAGGUCCCUUGAGAUUAAUGUGCACCACUUUUAAAAUGCAAUUAAUUAAGGAGUGUUAAAUAAUAUCAGUCAUUCACACUGUCAUCUCAUCUGUUGCCUUACGUCAAAAUAGAAAGAAUUUCACAGAGACAUGGGGGAAGGGUGGGAGUAGUCGCGGUGAAGUAGGGAGACUGGAGUUAAGUAAUUUCAGAACAUGUCUCAGCUUCUCCUUCCUUGAUUCAACUCAGCAUAUUACAUCAGAAUAGUCCAGAAUGACCCUGGCCAUGUCAUUGGUCCUCCUUUAAAUGAAAACCAAAAUAAAUAAAUACAUACAUACAUAAGUCUCUACUUCUUGGUAUGAAUUCAGGCCCUCGGCAAUCUGGCCUCAUAGACUAACAUCUCUAGGUAGUGUUCACCAUCAACCUUCAUCACACACACGAUACCAGUAAUUCUCAAAAUGUGGUUCCCAGAUCAGCAGCAUCAGCAUCUUCUGAGGACUUGUCAGAAAUGCCGAGUCUCAGGCCUAUCCCAGAC